GACGAACGCUGGCGGCGUGCCUAAUACAUGCAAGUUGAGCGAUGAAGAUUGGUGCUUGCACCAAUUUGAAGAGCAGCGAACGGGUGAGUAACGCGUGGGGAAUCUGCCUUUGAGCGGGGGACAACAUUUGGAAACGAAUGCUAAUACCGCAUAAUAACUUUAAACAUAAGUUUUAAGUUUGAAAGAUGCAAUUGCAUCACUCAAAGAUGAUCCCGCGUUGUAUUAGCUAGUUGGUGAGGUAAAGGCUCACCAAGGCGAUGAUACAUAGCCGACCUGAGAGGGUGAUCGGCCACAUUGGGACUGAGACACGGCCCAAACUCCUACGGGAGGCAGCAGUAGGGAAUCUUCGGCAAUGGACGAAAGUCUGACCGAGCAACGCCGCGUGAGUGAAGAAGGUUUUCGGAUCGUAAAACUCUGUUGGUAGAGAAGAACGUUGGUGAGAGUGGAGAGCUCAUCAAGUGACGGUAACUACCCAGAAAGGGACGGCUAACUACGUG
rnacentral:rRNA from 1 species